GCUACGUCGCUUCUGCACGUGAAUUUGUUAGCGCUUCCUUUCUUUCUUCAUGCAACUAUAGGCCAUGUCUAACUUUGUUUUUUGGAGUUCUACGUGUAUAUUUCUCCUUAAAAUUGCAGGGCUAAGGAUUAUACUACAGUAGAACAACCUAUGGAAGCAUUCACGAAUAUUACAUACAGCCAUCAGGUUUAUGGAGCCCCUGACUUCAAGUGUCCCUAUGAUGGUGAUUGAAGGCAAUCAUGAGAUUGAACCUUAAGUUGAUGGGAUCACUUUCAAAUCUUAUCUGACACGAUUCGCUGUUCCAUCACAAGAGGGUGGCUCCAAUAGUAAUUUCUACUACUCGUUUGACGCAGCAGGAGUCCAUUUCAUCAUGUUGGGAGCAUAUGUCGACUAUAAUAGUACUGGUGCCCAGCAUGCUUGGCUAAGGGAUGAUUUACUUCGAGUGGACCGUAAAGUGACCCCAUGGCUGGUGGCUGCAUGGCAUCCUCCUUGGUAUAAUAGCUAUUCAUCACACUAUCAGGAAUUUGAAUGCACGAGGUAGGAAAUGGAAGCACCCUUGUAUCAAUAUGGUGUCGAUAUUGUCUUCUCGGGUCAUGUAAGUGCCUUUUAAGAUUUGUUCUUA